rnacentral:rRNA from 2 species
GAUCCCAUCAGAACUCCGAAGUUAAGCGUGCUUGGGCGAGAGUAGUACUAGGAUGGGUGACCUCCUGGGAAGUCCUCGUGUUGCACCC